AUGCCGGGCAUAUCUGCUGCUGAC
rnacentral:siRNA from 1 species